UACAGAGGUCCCAAGCGUUGUUCGGAUUCACUGGGCGUAAAGGGUGUGUAGGCGGUUUUUUAAGUUUGGGGGGAAAUCUCCCGGCUCAACUGGGAGGGUGCGCCGAAUACUGAAAGACUAGAGUGCGGGAGAGGAAAGUGGAAUUCCUGGUGUAGCGGUGAAAUGCGUAGAUAUCAGGAGGAACACCGGUGGUGUAGACGGCUUUCUGGACCGUAACUGACGCUGAGACACGAAAGCGUGGGUAGCAAACAGG
rnacentral:rRNA from 1 species